rnacentral:rRNA from 1 species
UACGGAGGGAGCUAGCGUUGUUCGGAAUUACUGGGCGUAAAGCGCACGUAGGCGGCUUUGUAAGUUAGAGGUGAAAGCCCGGGGCUCAACCCCGGAAUUGCCUUUAAGACUGCAUCGCUUGAAUCCGGGAGAGGUGAGUGGAAUUCCGAGUGUAGAGGUGAAAUUCGUAGAUAUUCGGAAGAACACCAGUGGCGAAGGCGGCUCACUGGACCGGUAUUGACGCUGAGGAGCGAAAGCUAGGGGAGCAAACGGG